rnacentral:rRNA from 1 species
GACGAACGCUGGCGGCGUGCUUAACGCAUGCAAGUCGAACGGUAAGGCCCUUCGGGGUACACGAGUGGCGAACGGGUGAGUAACACGUGGGUGAUCUGCCCUGCACUUCGGGAUAAGCCUGGGAAACUGGGUCUAAUACCGGAUAGGACCACUGCCUGCAUGGGUGGUGGUGGAAAGCUUUUGCGGUGUGGGAUGGGCCCGCGGCCUAUCAGCUUGUUGGUGGGGUGAUGGCCUACCAAGGCGACGACGGGUAGCCGGCCUGAGAGGGUGACCGGCCACACUGGGACUGAGAGACGGCCCAGACUCCCACGGGAGGCAGCAGUGGGGAAUAUUGCACAAUGGGCGCAAGCCUGAUGCAGCGACGCCGCGUGAGGGAUGACGGCCUUCGGGUUGUAAACCUCUUUCAGCACCGACGAAGCGCAAGUGACGGUAGGCGCAGAAGAAGGACCGGCCAACUACGUGCCAGCCGCCGCAGUAA